UACGGAGGGUGCGAGCGUUGUUCGGAAUCAUUGGGCGUAAAGGGCGUGCAGGCGGUUGGGUAAGUCUGAUGUGAAAGCCCGGGGCUCAACCCCGGAAGUGCAUUGGAAACUGUCCGACUUGAGUACCGGAGAGGAUGGGGGAAUUCCCGGUGUAGAGGUGAAAUUCGUAGAGAUCGGGAGGAAUACCAGUGGCGAAGGCGCCCAUCUGGACGGAUACUGACGCUGAGACGCGAAAGCGUGGGGAGCAAACAGG
rnacentral:rRNA from 1 species